ACGGCGCCUGUAGCGACCAGAUAGUUUAGUUCGGCCUAGAAGCAUGCUUUAAAAUAUAUCUAAGCUCGGCUUAGUGUCUUAGCUAAUUACACAUAUGUUUGCUAAAUCAGCUGUAACAGAGAUGCAGUGGGAAGCUCGUCUUAGACAUCUGGUGUUAUCAUCUGUGGCGAACUUCCGACCAUACCCUAGCCUAACACUACCUAUAUUUGGUAAGGUUCUUUUCUGACUGACAUCCGAUAUAAGCAGACGUGCCUUUUGCAUUACUCCAACAAAGUUUUUAUUUAAAAAUAUUAUAUAUUGAAAUCGUGGAAAAUAAUAAGAGGAAUAAGUGCAGCGAGCCUAGCUGAAUAAUAUUUUUGUGAUUAAUUUUGGAAAACUAUUGCGAUAUAUAUAUGAUAUAUAUAUUUCUCACGUGGCCAUCAAUAUUGGCAUCCGUGGGAGCACCCCUUCAAGACAGUGGGGGGCAUGAUUGUAUAUCGUGCCCCAAAUUAAAUCGGAUAAGGAAAAUUAAGGAAUAAGAAUCGGAAUUAAAGGAAAAAUAAGGAGUUUCAACUGGAAUUAAAUUCAAGAAUGCAGCAUUAAAGAAGUGAUUUGGAGAGAUGUUUAACCCUCUCUACCCACGGCAGCAGCAGCAGCAGAUUUAGUAUAGCCAAAUAUGGACACAAAAGGGAAUGUAUAACCUGGAAUUUCUUUUAAGCCGCUACUGCGAUUUUUUUUAAAGUGAAAUAUUAUAAUUAAAAAUUUGAAAGUUUUGAAACGUGCCAAAGUGAAGAAAAUUUAAUGAAUCAAAGAUAGCAACAUGCCGUAAAAAUCAAGUUUAAGUGAUAUUUUCUAAAGUCUGAAUGAUUCAGUCUAAAACGUAAUAUUUAAAUUAAAUUAAAUUUAAAACUUAAUUUUUCACGAGUGGAGUUAUUUACGCAUCGAUUUUGUUUUGGAAAAUUCGCUCAACUAUGACUUAAAAGCGAUAAAUUAAAUAUUUAUUUUUUUUUUGUAAAUUUAAAUAUAAUUUGAAAAUAGCAACUUCUGAUAAGAAACAAUAGUGAAUAUUAAAUUUAAAAAUGUGGUUAAGUGAAGAUAUCACAGUCGCUUCUCAGUAAAAUAUGUAGGCCUAAAAGGGUUCCAAGUUAAAAGAUUUUUAUAGAAUAGUUUUGUGUUUUCGAGCCCCAAUUUCACCCUUUACAGCCACCUGCCCGGGAGAUCGAUCUUUCGCCGCUGGAACAACGUAUAAGCUGUGAGUUUAUUAUUCUCAUUAUUGCAUUUAUAUCUAUUCUAUUUAUAUCUUAUUGCGAAAUACUCUAUGAAAUAAUUUUUAACAAUCUACUUGAAUGAAACUGUGAAUUUAAAAGAACCCUGAACCGAUAGCCUCACUAAACUAAAUUAAAUUAAACAAAAAGAUAUCAAACAGAAUGAAGAUGAUUUAGUGAAAUAAAAAAAUAAAUUAAAGCAAUGAAAUUUAAAUAUCUAUUGUUAU